rnacentral:misc_RNA from 1 species
CAGUAUAGAUAUUAAUGACAGAUUCCCUCGUGAUUUCAUUUCUGAAAUAUUCUCUGGUGGGAUAUCUACUGAGGAUACAUCUGUUGUUAACCCAAUUCACAAAGAUGGGGCUGGCGUGAGUGUGAACAUGGAAAAUCAUGAGCCCAAGCGCUGGUCAUAUUUUCAGAAGUUGGCACAGGAUGGGUUUGCUCAAAAAGAUGCUGCUCGUACUAACCUGGAUCAUCUUGGUACUCCAUCUGCACCUGCAAAAGUUGAAGAAGGAGAUAAGAAUUCUUAUCAUUUUACAACUUUGACAACUGAUGGAAUGUUGAUAGACCAUGAAUAUUCCCAAAACAAUUUUGGUGAAGACGUUAAGAAAAAUUUACCAGGAAUGGUAGGAGCUGACUCUACAAUGCUUUCAGGUUUUGUUCAUUCUCCAGUGAAGAACAGUGAAACUCUGCAAUUUGAUGCUAUGAUGGAUAACCUAAAAUCACCAGAAUCAUGCUAUGAGGGUGCAAAGUUGGAAAAUAGGAGUGCCGGCCUACCUCCCCUCGAUCCUUCUCUGGUAGAUUUUGACAUCAAUACUGUGCAGGUGUGGUUCCUUUAUAUAUUAAGGUGUCCUUACCUUCAUACAAAGUUGUGUACCCACCCCCCACCCUCUUCCCUAUCUCUCAUGUUUGUAUUAAACCAUCUUUAGGUGUGCUUAAAAUGUUAAUUCACAAAAGUUUCAAAUUUUACUGAGCCAUUGAAGGAAUUGACAAUCGAUUCAAUUCAGAAAGUGAAGUACUCUUCCUGAGCCAUCCUUACUUCCUGGAGUUUGAGAGUCCAUUAUUUUUCUUUUUAAGUCAUGUUAUCUGUAGACUUUGAGAAAUUCAAUCUGUGAAUAUAUCAGCAGUAUGGUUUUCCAAAUGGACAGUGAACUCAUUUUGUUUUUAAACAAAUCAUGGGACCAAUAUGACUUCAGCUAUGUUUUCAUUUUAUGUCAAGUUAU